rnacentral:rRNA from 1 species
CCUACGGGCGGCAGCAGUGGGGAAUAUUGGUCAAUGGAGGAAACUCUGAACCAGCAACGCCGCGUGAAUGAUGAAGGUCCUCGGAUUGUUAAGCUCUUUUUUUAGGGAAGAAGAAAGUGACGGUACCUUAGUAAUAAGCCUCGGCUAACUACGUGCAUGCAGCCGCGGUAAUACGUAGGAGGCGGGCGUUAUCCGGAAUGACUGGGUGUAAAGGGUGCGUAGGUGGGUUGUCAAGUUGGUAGGGUAACUCAGAGGCUUAACCUUGGCACUGCAACCAAGACUGGCGGCCUUGAGUGCAGGGGGGGCAAGCGGAAUUCGUAGUGUAGCGGUGGAAUGCGCAGAUAUUAGGAAGAACACCGAUUGCGAAGGCAGAUUGCUGGACUGUAACUGACACUGAGGCACGAAAGCGUGGGGAUCAAACAGGAUUAGAUACCCGAGUAGUC